GCAUUAAAUUUGUCUUUACAACUUGGACACCUAAGCAGAGCGGAAAUAUGAUCGGGGAAACUUCAAUAGAGGAUACGUUAAUCAAACAUUUAGGCUUUAUCCGCUUUUUUUUUUAUAUAUUUUUUAGUUAUAUUUAGUGACUUAUUAAAUUCCAACUAGCAGCUCUUAUUGCGGUUCAGGGGCCGAGAGAAGUUUUAAUAAAAAUCAAGUUCUGCUCUCUCCUGAAAAUUUGCACUUUCAAGGACUAAGUGAGGAAACCGAAAAAGUUUUAAAAUUGGCGGAGCUAAUUAAAAAAGUCACUGAAAAUUUAAAAGUUGCUUUAAAAAAAUUUGAGUUGCUGUUUGUCUCUACAGGAGAAGCAGACGAUUUAAUUGAGAAAUGGCUGAGUAUUUUUGAUAUUGCCGAUGAUUAUUUAAACGGCAUGACUUUAAAUUAUGACACAGCCUCUUGUAAUAAGGAUAAAUAACUGGGACAGCUAACUCAGGAUUUACUUCUAAUAUUACUAUUAUUGAGUGAAACUUGAAACGGCAUUUAAGUUAAAUUCUCCAAAAUUUAA